rnacentral:rRNA from 1 species
GACGUAGGGGGCCAGCGUUGCUCGGAAUUACUGGGUGUAAAGGGUUCGUAGGCGGUGUGGCAAGUCGGGAGUGAAAUCUCUGGGCUCAACCCAGAGUCUGCUUCCGAAACUGCUGUGCUUGAGUGUGGGAGAGGCGCGUGGAAUCGCAGGUGUAGCGGUGAAAUGCGUAGAUAUCUGCAGGAACACCCGUGGCGAAAGCGGCGCGCUGGACCACUACUGACGCUGAGGAACGAAAGCUAGGGGAGCAAACAGG